rnacentral:rRNA from 1 species
GUGUCAGCCGCCGCGGUAAUACAGAGGUGGCAAGCGUUGUUCGGAAUUAUUGGGCGUAAAGAGCACGUAGGUGGGUUUGUAAGUCAGAUGUGAAAGCCUUCUGUUCAACGGAAGAAUUGCAUCUGAAACUGCGAGUCUUGAGUGUAGGAGGGGAGAAUGGAACUUCUGGUGGAGCGGUGAAAUGCGUAGAUAUCAGAAGGAACGCCGGCGGCGAAAGCGAUUCUCUGGCCUAUUACUGACACUCAGUGUGCGAAAGCUAGGGGAGCAAACGGGAUUAGAUACCCCGGUAGUCCUAGCUGUAAACGAUGGAUACUAGAUGUUGAACAGAUCGACCUGUGCAGUAUCAAAGCUAACGCGUUAAGUAUCCCGCCUGGGAAGUAUGCUCGCAAGAGUGAAACUUAAAGAAAUUGGCGGG